rnacentral:lncRNA from 1 species
AGCAAGUAAAAUUAACCCCUAAUUUCACUUAUUCAUGGCAGAAUCAAAGGAAAACAGAAAAUCAUUAAAACACCAAACCUUUCUUGAAUUCUUCUUUUCUUUUCCUCUUCUAAUCUCUAGCUAUCUCCUUUCCCUUUGAUGUUCCUUCACCUAUGCCAAUUUAUAUCUUAGGGAAGGAUUGAAUAAAUUGUAAAUUAAAACUUUAUAAUUCAAAUUCAUGCAUGAAGAAAUGAGAUGAUGCUAUUUCCUACUCAUUUCUAAGCUCACCUUUGAUUUUCAAGCUUGGUGCAUAUGGAACCCUAAACUUUUCUUCUUCAAUUCUUUCACUAUAUGGCUGUUCCUUUAGCUCUUGAUCUUAGGAUGAAUUUUGGUUAAAGGAAGAAGUUGUUUUGGUAAGGUUUUGGCUUGGCUUUGGUGGGAGAAAGAAAAGCAAAUGUUUUUCUUCUUUGAAGUUGGAUGACCUACGGCAACAUGGACAAAGGAAGAAGACAAUCCCUUUUCUUUCUUUUGCAUUGUCAUUUCUUCUCUCCUU